GUGGGGAAUAUUGGACAAUGGGCGCAAGCCUGAUCCAGCAAUGCCGCGUGUGUGAAGAAGGCCUGCGGGUUGUAAAGCACUUUAAGCAGGGAGGACGGGUUGCGGGGUUAAUACCCUUGUGACUUGACGUUACCUGCAGAAUAAGCACCGGCUAACUUCGUGCCAGCAGCCGCGGUAAUACGAAGGGUGCAAGCGUUAAUCGGAAUUACUGGGCGUAAAGCGCGUGUAGGCGGUUGGCUAAGUCAGAUGUGAAAGCCCCGGGCUCAACCUGGGAAUUGCAUUUGAUACUGGCUGGCUAGAAUGUGGUAGAGGGAGGCGGAAUUCCCGGUGUAGCGGUGAAAUGCGUAGAUAUCGGGAAGAACACCAAUGGCGAAGGCAGCCUCCUGGGCCAACAUUGACGCUGAGACGCGAAAGCGUGGGGAGCAAACAGGAUUAGAAACCCCAGUAGUCC
rnacentral:rRNA from 1 species